rnacentral:rRNA from 1 species
GACGAACGCUGGCGGCGUGCUUAACACAUGCAAGUCGAACGAUGAUGCUGGAGCUUGCUCCGGCGGAUAGUGGCGAACGGGUGAGUAACACGUGAGCAAUCUGCCCUUCACUCUGGGAUAACUGCGGGAAACUGUAGCUAAUACCGGAUAAGAAGCCUUGGGGCAUCCCAGGGCUUGGAAAGAAUUUCGGUGAAGGAUGAGCUCGCGGCCUAUCAGCUAGUUGGUGAGGUAAUGGCUCACCAAGGCGACGACGGGUAGCCGGCCUGAGAGGGUGACCGGCCACACUGGGACUGCGACACGGCCCAGACUCCUACGGGAGGCAGCAGUGGGGAAUAUUGCACAAUGGGCGAAAGCCUGAUGCAGCAACGCCGCGUGAGGGAUGAAGGCCUUCGGGUUGUAAACCUCUUUUAGUAGGGAAGAAGCGCAAGUGACGGUACCUACAGAAAAAGCACCGGCUAACUACGUGCCAGCCGCCGCAGUAA